CAACGCUGGCGGCGUGCCUAACACAUGCAAGUCGAACGCGAAAAGGGCUUCGGCUCUUAGUAGAGUGGCGAACGGGUGAGUAACGCGUGGGUGACCUACCUUCGAAUGGGGGAUAACGUCCCGAAAGGGACGCUAAUACCGCAUAACGUCCUGCUUUUGAACAGGUGGAGAUCAAAGCCGGGGAUCGCAAGACCUGGCGUUUGAAGAGGGGCCCGCGUCUGAUUAGCUAGUUGGUGAGGUAACGGCCCACCAAGGCGACGAUCAGUAUCCGGCCUGAGAGGGCGGACGGACACACUGGGACUGAGACACGGCCCAGACUCCUACGGGAGGCAGCAGUGGGGAAUUGUUCGCAAUGGGCGCAAGCCUGACGACGCAACGCCGCGUGGAGGAUGAAGGUCUUCGGAUUGUAACUCCUGUUGCCCGGGACGAAAAGCUUCGACCUAACACGUCGAAGUCUGACGGUACCGGGUGAGGAAGCCCCGGCUAACUCUGUGCCAGCAGCCGCGGUAAUACAGAGGGGGCAAGCGUUGUUCGGAAUUACUGGGCGUAAAGGGCGCGUAGGCGGCCCGCUAAGCCGAACGUGAAGUCCCCGGGCUCAACCCGGGAACUGCGUCCGAUACUGGCAGGCUUGAAUCCGGGAGAGGGAUGCGGAAUUCCAGGUGUAGCGGUGAAAUGCGUAGAUAUCUGGAGGAACACCGGUGGCGAAGGCGGCAUCCUGGACCGGUAUUGACGCUGAGGCGCGAAAGCC
rnacentral:rRNA from 1 species